rnacentral:tmRNA from 1 species
GGGGGCGUACUUGGUUUCGACGGGGAUAUGUUGUAUCUAAGAAGCGAGUCGAGGGAACCUGUGGGCCCGCGUUAAAAAACUAUGGGAUUAAAUAUAAACGCAAACGAAAA